AAGAAGACUUGUUUCAGUAUUAGUAAAUUCACCAUUCUGGAAAGCUAAAGAAACACCUGUUUGUCCACCAAAGAAAACCUUAUUGGAUCCUCCCAUCAUUUGAAGGAAGCAAGUUCUGAGACAGAAGCAAGAGCACAUAAUUAUAAAAGUACAAGUACAGAAGGCUCUGCACUGUCAUCAUCAUCAACCUGUCAACGGACUGCAUGCAACUUUGAGUUCUAUUGUGCAGGGAGACGGUCAUCAAACUCUAAGCCAGGACUUGCGGCUGCCGGAAUGUAUGAAAGAAAAGUUGAGUGAGCCUCCCUGGCAAGAGUAUAUUUGUAAUAAUCAGGUAGAACCAUCACAAGCAGAAGACUUCAAAUUCAGUACCAUCAUUGUUCAACCACAGGAUCUAUACUAAUUCUAAAUAUUUUAUUAAAUAUAUUUUAGUUUUAUUUGUAUAAAGGAUUGCAUCUCUAACAUCUCUUCUAAAAGUUCUAAAUAUAGUGACUACUUUAUGA